ACUCUCCUCUGGAUGUUGACUCAACCAAAAAUCCCGGAACCAAGUCGAGGUCUUCACAAGUUCCCACCAUUCCGGUGAGAAAUCCUCCACUUGUCGAUACACAUUAGGGAUAAAGAGAGGUGCAUUAGGAUUCAAUGUGGUUCUUGUUGAGAUCAAAGUAGCCAUUUCACCACCUUUAUUAAAUCAAUCCAACCACAACAAUAGUCAAUUUCCCUGAAACAGCAACAAUCAAGAGUCAAUCUUUAUCAUCAAACCUAACCGGUUAUCUCCAAUCGAAUCCAAACACCCUUUUAACAAAGAAUCAAAGAUCAUGAAUCCUAGACCCCAUAAAACCACAAAACAUCUAACAAAUCAUCCCAAAUCACAAAAAAAAAAAAACUAGAACUAGAAACAUCAGUCAUAACAGAAAAAACAACAAAAAUCCAAACCCCAGAACAAAGAAUCCAUCAAUAUCAUCACAAAAACAACA